rnacentral:rRNA from 1 species
UACGAAGGUGGCAAGCGUUGUUCGGAUUUACUGGCAUAAAGGGCGCGUAGGCGGCCAGCACAAGUCAGUUGUGAAAUCUCCGAGCUUAACUCGGAAAGGUCAACUGAUACUGUGCGGCUAGAGUGCGGAAGGGGCAACUGGAAUUCUUGGUGUAGCGGUGAAAUGCGUAGAUAUCAAGAGGAACACCUGCGGCGAAGGCGGGUUGCUGGGCCGACACUGACGCUGAUGCGCGAAAGCCAGGGAGCGAACGGG